AAAUCCAUCCGUGUGGUUUCACACUUUCGCACUUUAGUACGCUGUAGUUUAAAGUGUAUCAAUUUAGUGCCCUAUGGUUUCACUUUUAUCUUUUUAUUAUUGAUUCCACUAAUUUUUUUCAUUAAAUCAGUAACAAAGUUAAAACUAAAUGGUACUAAAGUAAAUAUUCGAUACACCUAGAUAGGAUAUUUGAAGUGUUUUUGUAUACACUUUAACGAAAUAUUAAUGAAAAAGAUGACGAAAAAAUAAAAAUAAAAUUAUAGGACACUAACUUAAAACACUUUAAAUCACAGAAUAUUAAAGUGAGAAAGUGCGAAACCACAGGGAUGGUAUUCGAAGUUUACCCCAAAUUUUUUCCCAACGGCUCUCUUUUUCCUUUUUUGUCGCUUAUAUAUGAAGUCGAAUUCUGCAUCCGCAUGUGUUUCAAAUGAUUCAAGUUUAAAUCCUUCUUCUUUAUUUUUUUAUCAUUUUAACACAUUCCGUGCCCUGUAUAAAUGUUUUGGGAAAAAGACAACAUGAAAAAAGUCCGCAAUGAAAUAGAGAAAUAGAGUUCUUUUCUUGUUUACUUUGUCUAAUCGGUAGGUGUAGAGUUCUUUAUUUUGGGUUUUCUUUCUUGUUUGCUUGUCCCUUGUCCUUUCUUCCAUGCUCGGUCUUCACUUCUUCCUUUUUAUUAUCCACCCCGUUUUUCUUAUUUACUUUGUCUAAUCGGUAGGUGUAGAGUUCUUUAUUUUGGGUUUUCUUUCUUGUAUUUUUUCGGCUCUUUCAGGAGGCCCUAGCUGUCUCCAUCAUAUACGCUUAGUUCAUUUCGCUUAAUGAAUGAAGCAGGUAGCUUGCUAUCUUUUUUUUUUUAAAAAAAAGAAAUAGAGAAAUAGAGAGAGGCUUUAGAGUGCUCAAAAAUUUUUUUUGGCUAAAGUACGUUCCUGCUAGUCAAAGUGUAUAUUAAGCGUGCAAUAUUUUCGUCCUCAAAUUUUAAUUUAGUAAAGUUUUAUAAUUUUGCAAUCAAUUUAAUUGACUAAAUGUUGAUGUAAUACUAAUAUUGAAGUGAUGAUGCAACGGUGUUGUAAUUGAUGACGUGAUAAUGUUUAAGAUGUGGUAUUAUUUGCACAUCACCAACAUGUCAAUAUUUAGUCAGCUACGUACAUUUGGCUGCUGGACUUGAUACAAUAAUCUAUAAAAUUUGAGCCAAGAAUUAAAAGAAAUUAAAGUUUGCGAACUAUAGUGUCACGCGCCUCAUAUAUAGUUUAGCGAUGGACAGUGUAAUUUAGCCUUAAUUUUUUUUUUAUUCUUUUC
rnacentral:lncRNA from 1 species